rnacentral:rRNA from 1 species
AUACGAAGGGGGCUAGCGUUGCUCGGAAUCACUGGGCGUAAAGGGCGCGUAGGCGGCCGAUUAAGUCGGGGGUGAAAGCCUGUGGCUCAACCACAGAAUUGCCUUCGAUACUGGUUGGCUUGAGACCGGAAGAGGACAGCGGAACUGCGAGUGUAGAGGUGAAAUUCGUAGAUAUUCGCAAGAACACCAGUGGCGAAGGCGGCUGUCUGGUCCGGUUCUGACGCUGAGGCGCGAAAGCGUGGGGAGC